rnacentral:rRNA from 1 species
GACGAACGCUGGCGGCGUGCUUAACACAUGCAAGUCGAACGGAAAGGCCCUGCUUUUGUGGGGUGCUCGAGUGGCGAACGGGUGAGUAACACGUGAGUAACCUGCCCUUGACUUUGGGAUAACUUCAGGAAACUGGGGCUAAUACCGGAUAGGAGCUCCUGCUGCAUGGUGGGGGUUGGAAAGUUUCGGCGGUUGGGGAUGGACUCGCGGCUUAUCAGCUUGUUGGUGGGGUAGUGGCUUACCAAGGCUUUGACGGGUAGCCGGCCUGAGAGGGUGACCGGCCACAUGGGGACUGAGAUACGGCCCAGACUCCUACGGGAGGCAGCAGUGGGGAAUAUUGCACAAUAGGCGGAAGCCUGAUGCAGCAACGCCGCGUGCGGGAUGACGGCCUUCGGGUUGUAAACCGCUUUCGCCUGUGACGAAGCGUGAGUGACGGUAAUGGGUAAAGAAGCACCGGCUAACUACGUG